GCCCUGACGUUUUCUGGGUUUUCUUUCUCUGCAGGGCUGUCGCUUCCCCCUGGAGGGCCUCCAGGCUGGGCCUUUGUUCCAGAAGCCUCCCUGCUCAGGGGCUCAGCUGCCAGCAGCUCACAUGCCUGUAGAAACUCUUCUCCCCAGGACUUGGCUCCCAGGGGUGGCCUGGCCGCUGGUUCCCUGCAGCCUCCACGGGCCUUCGGGACUAGUCUGGAGCCUCCUGGCCAACGUGUUCCCUGGGCCUUGGCUCUUGGCAGGCAGCUGGGUCUUUCAGUCAGGGACAGCCUUCAGUUCCAGGGUGGCCCCAGCAGGCACCCAACGUCUGCUUCCUGCUAGUCACUCAACCAGAGCCCGCUUAGAGCUGACGGGGGAGUGAAGGUGAGGAGUGGAGGCUUGAAGCUGGAUCCCUGCACAGCUGGAGGCAUCUUCCCGUCCGCUCACGGGGUGACAAUGCUUCACAAGCCCACCGGUGACCUUCACAGCAUCAGAGAAGACCAAGGGAAGAUCUUCAUGGUGGAUACUCCCCGAGCAGCCUGGCGUCUUCUUCCGGAGUUCGGACCCAUCUCAGAGGAGACGUAGCCUCCCAGAUAAGUGCCUCCUCCUGCCGCCCACCGCUGUGCCCAUGGCCCUCUCCCAGGCGGGGGUGGGGUGGGGGGCAGCUCCCAUCCCCCCCCUUUUUUUCCCUCCACUCCACAAAGACAGAUCUAGGCCUGUUUCUGGGUGCCACAGAGAGAGUGAUUUGCGCCCCGUUUUCUGCUGUCCAGAGUUUGGUCAGCUUCAGGAGGGAGGCCUGUCCAGUGAAGGGAGUGACUCCAUCUUGAGGGCCUGAUUGUAGGGUGCCGGGGGGUUGCUGGGAGUCCUGCUUCAAGCCCCCUCGUCUCUGUGCUAUGGGGUACUCUGCCAGGGACCUGAGGACGGCUUCACUGGGGACCCCCAGGCCAGCACCCAGUCCCUGAAGGAGGCUGAGAGGGUCCCCGCACCUCCAGUCUGCCCAGAGCCCACCACCAUCUGGUGCCCACCCCCCUAUUUCCCUGGUGUCCGGGGGGGUAUGAGAAAGGGCGUGGAGGCUUGUGGGGGGAAGCUAGGUGGGGGUCUCUCCCUCUUUCCCACUUUGAGCCAUGGGUCACUGCCCCCGCUAGCACCGUGGUGAGUGUGUAAGCUGGAAAGACACCCCCGCCAGCCCAGAGAGGGGAGGCAGGCCCUAGAGGGCCAUCCGGGGGUGGGGGACAGAGCCCACAUGCUCUCCCAGCUACUCAUGUGCUGUGCCUGCCCUCUCCUGGGUCAGUGCUGGGCAGGGAGGUGGGUGGCGCUGAGGGUGAGGCAGGCAGAGGACCCUCCCCAGACCCAGGCCUGGUGGGGCAGGGUGUUCAGGACUGGACGGCUGGGCUGGGGGUCUGUGUGGCUCUGGAGGUGGACGUUCAAGCGCCUUCCUUCUUCAGCUCCAGCCUGGACCUGGCCAGCUGCCGUCAAGCCGGAUGUGGACCCCGGUGAUGGCGACGUGUCCCCACACCUCGGUGACCCCGUCUUGGUGUUCCUGGACUCCGGCCGCAGGACACAGGGAGGCGGUCCUGGCUCUCCGACAGCCCCUAGGACGCCUCCUCCUGGUGGAUGUGAGCCCUGCCGGUAGGCGUUCGGCAAGGACCUGACUCCAGAGGCGCGGACCUGCCUGCUGCUUCCUGGACCGGAUACGCCCAGCCACACUGGGGCCUGUACCCCCCAGCCUGGUGUCCUGGGACCUUCAGGGCGGGCAGGGACAGGGGCCGAAGUGAGGGCUAUGGGUGUGGGGAGCCACCCUGUGCCGCUGGCUGUACUGUGUGCUGAUUUGGGUGGGCUCGUUUGUGACCCCUUCUGCGCCCCCAGGCAGGAGGGUUGGGAGGAUGAUGUCAAGCUGGGGAAUGGUGGGGGGGAGGCAAGAGGUACAUUGCGCGGGCUGGGGUGUGACUGAGAUGGCCGGAGAAGUUUGCAGGAGAACAGCAGCCCAGAGCACCAGGAACACAGCUCCUUCCCCCAUGGCAUCCGGGGCUGCAGAGUGGGCAGGCCCCAUAGUUCCAGAACCUUCUGGAGGGGCCAUGUGCCUGCUGGGGCCUUCCCAGGCUGCACCCUGGCUGAGCUCCUCAGUGGGUGUUGGCGCCGUGCCCCCUCACAGCACCUCAGGGAAGGGCUGCCUCUGCUCCCACCACAUCUGGGGGUGGCGGUGGAGAGAUUUCUCUCCAGGCCCCUCUCUUCUCUGAUCACUCUCCUGCUGUGUCCUCACUGGUCUUCCCUCUGGUCAGGCUUGGAGGGAAGGGGAGAGAGAGGGAGAGACAGACAGACAGACAGACAGAGCCCCCCUGUGUCUCUUCCUUGUCUCAUAAGGAUGCCAGUCCUGUGUGAUCAGGCAUCUCCCCCAGACCCCGUUUCAUCUCCCUUACCCGUUCUGUCCCUGGACCCCCGUUCACCUGCCUUGCCCGCUCUGUCUCUGAGUUUAACGCCCACUUUGAAUUUCUUUUCUUUUUGGGGGUGGUGCUGGUGGGAUUCAGUCCACAGCAGGGUGACCACCUGCCACAUGGUGCUGACUCCCCUUCAGGACCCCUCCUGCAGUGUAGACCCAGGGGCCUUGCCGAUUUGCUUCCCUGAGUCUGAACCGCCCUCUAGCCAGCUGUGGGGGUGGAGGUGGGGUGCACCGCCUGGUCUCAGAGAGCCCAGGGUGCCCCUGGAGCCUUGGGGGCAGGGGAGGGCCUGCUUCCCAGCGUCUGUGCCCAGGGCCGGGCACCCAGGGAGCCGUGCAGAACGGGCUUCCUAGCAUCUUCUCAGGCCCUGCCUGUCCCCGGUAUUGGGGUGAGUGGUGGUGGAGGGGUGACCCUGAGCUAGCUGCAGGCCUUCCAACCAAGGGUGAACCUGCCAGGACCUUCAGGGACCAGAAGGAGCUUCCCCAGCUGAAGGCUCCCAGGAAGAGGUCAGUGCAGACAGCCAGAGUGGUUCUGGGGGGGCCAUUCCCCCAUUCUGUCUCCCCUCCACUUUCCAUCUCUGUCUCUCCCUCUCUUUUUAAACUUCUGUUUAUUUAGAGACAGAAAUUGAGAGGAGAGGGGGGGAGGUAGAGAGGGAGAGACAGAGAGACACCUGCAGCCCUGUUUCACCACUUAUGAAGCUUUCCCUCUGCAGGUGGGGACCGGGGGCUCGAACCUGGGUCCUUGCACACUGAAAUGUGUGCUCUUAACCAGGUGUGCCACUGCCUGGCUUCCUCUGUCCCACUGUCCUAGGUGGUGCUUCACUGAAAAGGGGGCAUCCCUGACCCGGAAAGUUGGGUUCACACUCCCUCCUCAGUCCUCAAACAGCCAUAACCUUCACCAGUGCUUUAAAGGUUUGGCUAAGUCCUGCUUUUUAAAUGUCCACUGAGUUGCAACUCACUUUAGAGAGGGACAGGCUGCAAGCUAUGGUUUCCACAGGAGGGGUCUGAAUAGGACAUGGUCCUGGGCCUGAGGACAGGCAAGGGACAAAGGGCCUGGAGCUGGGUUCUGGGAAGCAGGUCCUGGGGAGGAGGCUGGGGAGGGGGCACCGGAGCCCUGGCAGUAGGGGGAGGAGUCUGACGGACAUGGUAGCUCAUGGGGGCAUUGUGGGCGGACCUGAGUGUGAUGGCCCCUAGCUCUCCGGGGAGGGCCUGACAGGAGCCAGGCUGAGGGUGCCAGCCGCUCUGCAGGGACCCAGUGUUUUUCAGGGUCGGGGCUCUGAGACCCCAGGCUGAGGACUCGGGGAGCAGAAGUGUGUCCAGGGGAGCACAAACGCGGGUGGGCAGGUGGACAGGGUGGAUGGGGUCUUCUAGGUGGACCCCUGCCCUGGAUGGCCUCUGGCGGCCGGGGUGAGCCAGGCGCGGUGCAUGGUGGCGUGUGACCUAUUAACCCAGGGCUCGGCGGGGGUGCCUGGCCCUGCCCUCACUAACCCACUAACCAGGCCCAGCAUGCCCUACUAACCACGCAGACCUACUAACCGUGCCUCGCUGGCCUCAGGCUGGGCGUGGGGCUGGGCCGGGCUCUGUGCAGACCCCCAGGGCGGGACGGGCCAAGCCGGGGCUCCCAGCCUGCCACUCCUGCCGGGCAGCUGGGAGCGCGUCCACCCCUCUUUGAACCCCAUUUCCCUGGGGUUCACAGCCGAGUGAGGAGUCUGGGGAAAGGAAAGGUCUGGACACACGCUUAACAAAAGAGGGAAGGCGGGCCAGUGGGCAUCAGAGCCUCCCCCCACCAAAAAAAAUACCCAGAGGGUGUCACCCUCCCAGGCCCCGGUCCUUCUGGGGGUCCUACACACAGAGCUUUCUGCCAGGGGCCGGACACCUGCUUUGAACCCUGACUCUCCCUUGUUCUGCCUCCGCCCCACUUUCUCUCCUGCAGGCAGCUCUCUCGUUCCGUUACUAACCUGUGUCUAACUCGGGUGCCUCACCUGUGUCCCCACCCUAACACACUAACAGGCCCGCGUGCGUUCUUCCUCUCCUAGCAACUCCCAUGUGUGUGCUGGGUGCCCGGGCGCUGGCGCUGUGCUCUGAACCUACUAACCCGGCCCUACUAACCCGGUCUUCUUACUAACCCAGCCCUGCCGAGCUCUGGGUCCCUCGCCUGCCCUGGGUGCUGGUCCCCUCCCUCACAGGUGUCCCGGGGCUGCCCCUGCAGACAGGACUGCACCCUAACUGGGACGGGGGACAGCUCUGGGAGUGGCCCCGGUGACAGCUCUGAGAGUGGCCUCGGUGACCCAGAGGAGGAGGAGGCGGCCAUGCUGACAUGCGAGGCUGGUCUCUGGGGAGAAGGGAUGCCGCUCUCCUUUGUGGGGGAUUCUGAGUGCCACUGGGGGUGGCUGGGCCCAGGGACACCUCUGGGGCUUGGAGGCAGGUGGGCCGCCCACCCUAGUUGAGGGGGCAGGGAGCUGGCCUUCUUGGGGUGGAAGUGAGGGUAGAACUCGCUCCACUGGGAAUUGGUCAGUCAGGGAGCAACCCUGUACAGGAAGUCAGUGAGAGAGUAGGUGUCCAUGCGGGAGGUAACAUGUCUCUCACAGGAAGUCUUUGGAGGAGGACUUGUUCCUCACAGGAAGUCAGUGGGAAGGGAGCUGUCCCUUACAGGAAGUCAGUAGGAGGAGACCUGUCCCUCACAGGAAGUCUUUGCAGGAAGACUUGCUCCUCACAGGAAGUUAAUGAGAAGGGAGCUGAUCCUCACAGGAAGUCAAAUGGAUGGGACCUGCCCCUCACAGGAAGUUAAUUGGAAGGGACCUUUCACAGGAAGUUAGUGGGAGGGGACCUGUUCCUCACUGGAAGUCAGUUGGAGGGGACCUGUCCCUCACAGGAAAUCAAUUGGAAGGGACCUCUCACAGGAAGCCAAUGGGAGGAGACACGUCCCUCACAGGAAGUCAGUGGAACAAGAUCUAUCUCUCACAGGAAGUUAGUGGGAGGGGACCUGUUCCUCACAGGAAGUCAGUGGGAGGGGACCUGUCCCUCACAGGAAGUCAGUAUGAGGAAACCUGUUCUUCACAGGAAGUCAGUUGGAGGGGACCUGUCCCUCACAGGAAGUCAGUGGAAGGGGAGUUGUCCCUCAUAGGAAGUCAGUUGGAAGAACUCUGUCCUACAUUGGAAGCCAAUGGGAGGGGGUUGCAUCCCACACAGGAAGUCAACCAAAGGCUAGGUCCCAUACAGGAAGUUGGUUAAUGUCCCCCACCAGGGUGGGACAUUUCAUACAGGAAGGCACCAGGGGGAAUGCGCCCUGGCUCCCUGCCCAGCUCCCACUGGCACCCCAGGUCCCGGCCCACCUCCCCCCAGAGCCCGCCAGCCGCUAAGCCAGGGCCACACCUGGGGGUGAUGUCCGCCUCACCUCCAGUAGGCACCUCGGCCUCUCCGGGCUAAUCAUCUCUGGCUCCCUCGCACUAACUCGCUCUCCCCUUUGGCUAACCUCCGCCUAGGCCUGGCUGCCCCCGGGGGGCUGAUACUCCAGGCCAGCCCUGCCCGUCGGGGGUCUCCAGGCGUCUAGUCUGGCUCUGAAUGAACCUCCCUCACCGUGACUAACUCUCGCCCUUGCGGUCUGUUCCUCCAGCAGAAACUAACGGCUUGCGGACUUCUCUCUGACUAACAGCCGGUCUAACACCCCCAGCUCCCCCCCCCCCCACACCAUGAGUGAUGGCUUGGGUGUCCGCAUGGCUGGGUGGGCUCCCCUGGGGCAGAACUGGACUGGGGAGGGGUGUGGACCUCGGGAGUGUGUGUGUGCGGGGUAGACAGCGGCCUGGGCGUGGGAGAUUCGGAGACCCCACAGCUGGAAGCUUUUGAUUAGCAUCUUGUAGGAGCCCUGAGGUCACCACCCACCACCCACCACCAAUAGUGUGUCAGCUAAACUUCUGGUUUUGACUUCUGUGCAGUUGCAGGAGCCCUGGGCUGUGGGCAUGGAGGAGGAGGGCACAGGACUUGCAGGGAGCCUGUUAGCUGCCCUAUGGCAGCUGCACUGGCCCAGCCCCUUCCCCCCUGUCUCAUCCCCCCCCCUGCCCCAAGAAGCUUGGUGCUGCCCUGGGUGUGUGCCCUGAGCACUGCUCUGGGAGCCGGGGCUGGGCUCUGGGCUGGGUGCUGGGCUGAGCUUGUGGGCGCGUAGUGAGUGCACCCUCUGGCCUCCGGGCGCUUUCCCGCUGGGUGGUGGCUGGGUGCAGGCCCAGUGGCAGCUUUGUGAAGGGGGGCCCUGAGCUGAGCCUUGGCUGGGUGGAUGCAGAAGGCGGGUUUCUGGCAGCAGGCUGCGGGGGCCAUAGAAAGUGCUGGAGGGGUCAGUUGGGGUUGGAGGGGUUCUGGAAGAUUCUUGGGGAGUAUAGGAAGGGGCAGAGAGGACAUGGGCAUGUAGGUGAUGGUCCUGCUAUGGGGCUCUGGGGGCGGUGGGUGUGAGUGUGUGUGAGUGUGUGGGUGUAUGUGUGUGAGUGUGAGUGUGUGUGUGUGGGUGUAUGUGUGUGAGUGUGUGGGUACGUGAGUGUGUGUGGGUACGUGAGUGAGUGUGCUCUUGAUGCUGGGGGUGCCAGCUGGGGCUGGUCCUCUCCUCACUGUCCCCAGCCCACCCUGGUCCUGAGUCACCCACUGGGAUGGGAGGGACCUGGGGGGUGGUCAAGCCAGUCACUGGGCCCCACCUUUUCCCCCUGAGAGACCAGAGAAGUGUCCUCCUGGUCGCCACCCAGGACCCAGCACGUGGGCAUGGGGAUUCUGCUGUCCAUUAAAGACCCAGCUGUCUGUGGAACCC